AUUGAACGCUGGCGGCAGGCCUAACACAUGCAAGUCGAACGCGUGGCGGACGGGGGAGUAAUAUCUGGGAGAAUGCCCGAGGGAGGGGGAUAAAAACUGGAGACAGUAGCUAAUACAGCGUACCAUAGGAAGUGUCCCGAUGGGAGUAGAUUGUGGAUGAGGGAACGGCUCACCUCGGCGAGGAUACCUAGCUGGUCUGUGAGGAUGACAAGCAAAACUGGAACUGAGACACGGUCCAGACGCCUACGGGAGGCAGCAGUGGUGAAUAUUGCACAAUGGGCGCAAGCCUGAUGCAGCCAUGCCGCGUGUAUGAAGAAGGCCUUCGGGUUGUAAAGUACUUUCAGCGAGGAGGCGUUACCCGCAGAAGAAGCACCGGCUAACUCCGUACCAGCAGCCGCGGUAAUAC
rnacentral:rRNA from 1 species